AUGAAAGAUCAAUUCGCCGGCCUUCCUAGUGAAGAUGCCGCUACUCAUCUAAACAAUUUUGUUGAUUUGUGUGAUAUGCAAAAGAAGAAAGAUACGGAUAACAAUAUUGUCAAACUGAAGUUAUUUCCGUUUUCACUUAGAGAUCGUGCUAAAGUUUGGUUUUCGUCUUUGCCUAAAAAUAGUAUUGAUUCUUGGAACAAGUGCAAAGAUGCUUUUAUCUCUAAGUAUUUUCCUCCCGCUAAGAUCAUCACUCUUAGGAAAGAUAUUAUGAAUUUUAAACAACUUGAUCAUGAGCAUGUUGCCCAAUCUUGGGAAAGAAUGAAAUUGAUGCUUCGCAAUUGCCCUACUCAUGGUUUGAACUUAUGGGUGAUCAUACAAAAUUAUUAUGCCGGAUUGAAUUUUGCUUCUAGAAAUCUUUUAGAUUCGGUCGCGGGAGGCACGUUUAUGGAAAUUACGUUAGGAGAUGCUACAAAAUUGCUUGAUAAUAUUAUGGCUAAUUAUUCUCAAUGGCACACCGAAAGAUCUCCUAGUAAAAAAGUGCAUGCUAUAGAAGAAAUCAAUGUUUUGAGUGAAAAGAUGGAUGAACUUAUGAAGAUGUUUGCUACUAAAAAUACUUCUCUUGAUCCCAAUGAUAUGCCUUUGUCCACUUUGAUUGAGAAUAAUAAUGAAUCUAUUGAUGUGAAUUUUGUUGGUAGGAAUAGUUUUGGAAAUAACGCGUAUAGAGGGAAUUUUAAUCCUAGGCCUUAUCCUAGUAAUCCUUCUAAUAAUUAUGGAAAUUCCUACAACAACUCUUAUGGAAAUUUUAAUAAGAUGCCCUCUGAAUUUGAGAGUAGUGUUAAAGAGUUUAUGAAUUCACAAAAGAAUUUCAAUGCUUUGCUUGAAGAGAAAUUGCUUAAAGUUGAUGAUUUGGCUAGGAAUGUUGAAGAAUUUCUCUUGAAAUUGAUUCUUUAA
rnacentral:rRNA from 1 species